GCCUAACACAUGCAAGUCGAGCGGUAACAGGAGAAAGCUUGCUUUCUUGCUGACGAGCGGCGGACGGGUGAGUAAUGUAUGGGGAUCUGCCCGAUAGAGGGGGAUAACUACUGGAAACGGUGGCUAAUACCGCAUAAUGUCUACGGACCAAAGCAGGGGCUUCUUCGGACCUUGCACUAUCGGAUGAACCCAUAUGGGAUUAGCUAGUAGGUGGGGUAAAGGCUCACCUAGGCGACGAUCUCUAGCUGGUCUGAGAGGAUGAUCAGCCACACUGGGACUGAGACACGGCCCAGACUCCUACGGGAGGCA
rnacentral:rRNA from 1 species